GAUGAACGCUGGCGGCGUGCCUAAUACAUGCAAGUCGAGCGAACAGACGAGGAGCUUGCUCCUCUGACGUUAGCGGCGGACGGGUGAGUAACACGUGGAUAACCUACCUAUAAGACUGGGAUAACUUCGGGAAACCGGAGCUAAUACCGGAUAAUAUAUUGAACCGCAUGGUUCAAUAGUGAAAGACGGUUUUGCUGUCACUUAUAGAUGGAUCCGCGCCGCAUUAGCUAGUUGGUAAGGUAACGGCUUACCAAGGCAACGAUGCGUAGCCGACCUGAGAGGGUGAUCGCCCACCCUGGAACUGAGACACGGUCCAUACUCCUACGGGAGGCAGCAGUAUGGAAUCUUCCGCAAUGGUCGAAAGCCUUACGGAGCAACGCCGCGUGAGUUAUGAAGGUCUUCGGAUCGUAAAACUCUGUUAUUAGGGAAGAACAAAUGUGUAAGUAACUAUGCACGUCUUGACGGUACCUAAUCAGAAAGCCACGGCUAACUACGUG
rnacentral:rRNA from 1 species